UUAACUGACUGACUUUGCUUUUAUUAGAAGAGCCGUUGCCUUCCAGUAGCUUCUUUUUGAUUUUAUGCUUUGGAACACUAGGUGCAGCUUCCGGCACUUUUCUUUCUUUGCCGGAACUAAUGAUGCCCUUUUCGUCCCACUUAAUGACGGGUGCAUUGUCUGUAGGGUUGAGAGUUUUCAGCUUUUCGGCAUUUUGAAGAUUGGUCUGGUGAAGAGCGACGGGUCUUGUGAAAUUGGAGAAAUUGAAAAACCCAGAGGUGACGGCGUCGGGAUCUUGGGUUGUUUGCAAUUUAUCCGAUGUAGUGGCAGCGGAU
rnacentral:lncRNA from 1 species